GCUAAAGAAGAAGAACUAAUCUGAAAUGGAAAAAGGAAAACUUUGCAGUGAACUUUCAAGGUUUCAUCCCUUCUGCCUCGAGCGUCCCCCUACCCACCAUCACCCUUCCCUAGCCCAAUAUGGAGAGCCAUCUGCAGAGCUGGGAACCAUGUGGACGGAGAGGAGUUGCACAGGCUUUUGAUAAGGAGUAGCGAAGAUCUCAGCUGCUCGGAAAAUACAGGUGCCACAAACAAAAAGUGCAGGAGCCCACAUUGCUGAAGAGGCAAGAAAGAGAAAAUACGUAUAUUUUGGGACUGAUCCUCCACUUUUCAAGGAAAAGUGCCAUUCAGAGUAACAAUUCUCAGACUUCCUUCACGGUACAAAGUUGUCUGUAGGAAUACAUUGCUGAAGCUGAUCGUGAUGUCCAGGAAAUUGGCAUCUACUUCCUGAGCAAAUUCAAGAAACAAAUCACCCCCAGAAGUCUCACCACCUAUAACCCUCUGACCACUACAUACAACUCCAUAUAUGCUGCGCAGCUCUGCAAAAACUGAGGAACCACUGGGCUUCACACACUCCACAGAGGACCACCUCAAACAAGAAAUCAUCACAUGCUCUCUUACUCUGGAAAAAUCAGGAAAUGGAAGAAAAUGGAGUUGGUCCAAAUCAACUAUCAAAAAAACUUGAUCACAGCCAUCCAACACAAAAACAGAAAGCAGAACCAACUACAACUCCUCCACAACUUACAGAACACCACUUCUGGGAGAACCAUUGCACCAGGACCCACCACAUGGACAGUAUAUAACAUUCCAACAUCAUCAAGACUAUCCCUAACUGGGAGCUGAAAUAUCUAUACCCUUCCAGAGACUGAAUUUCUGCCCCCACCACAGAAGCUGAGACCAUACAUGGAGAACUAAAAGAAUUCUGCCACCAACUCCAUCUUGAAAAAUUCUUUCACAACAAUGAUGAAACCACCCACAAUUACCAGCUCCCCCCAGCAGAAUUAUCUGAGUGGACACCCCACUGCAGAUGAAACCCACUCAUGAUUAUUACAUUGAUUGCUUCAGGAAAAAGAAUUGACUGUGAAAUCCUUAACAAACAUCACAUUCACCACAAUCUCUCUACCGCCAAGAGGACUGCUAUGCAGUCCCUGAAAUUCAGCCACCAGAUAGUGAUCAACCACCAUCCAUCAAUAAAACUCUGUCUAGACCACUCCCACCUUACUUCGACUUCCUGGACACAACAAUCAUCUUCAGCAAUGGAACCCUACAGACAACAAUCCACUUAUCACAUCCAUAGGCACUGAUUCCAUGGAUGCUGCUCCAGGGCUGGAUCGCCCACAGAAAAAAAAUAGUGGGUGCUGAGCACCCAUCUGCAGCCAGCUCCUUCCCUCUCCCCCAGUGCCACUCAUCUGCUGGCAGCCCCUCCAAUCAACUCUUCCUUCUCCCUCCCAGUGCCUGCUGCCCGCUGCA